GGAGAUUGAGAGACCAAGUUGAGAUGUGCCUUCGCCUAUUUGUGAUGAGUGAUUGACUAGAUGAUUUGAGGUUUUUCCGGUUGAGUCAAUAUUUCAUAUGUGCAUGAUUAUGCUAAUGUCUAAUCGGAUGAGCUGUGUUGAGUCCGUUGUGUUGUGGUGUUUGUGUAAAACAUAUCUUGUAUGUUAUGUCUCUUGGAUUGUGGUGUGCAGGUGUAGG
rnacentral:lncRNA from 1 species